rnacentral:rRNA from 1 species
AGUGAACGCUGGCGGUAGGCCUAACACAUGCAAGUCGAACGGCAGCACAGUAAGAGCUUGCUCUUACGGGUGGCGAGUGGCGGACGGGUGAGGAAUACAUCGGAAUCUACUUUUUCGUGGGGGAUAACGUAGGGAAACUUACGCUAAUACCGCAUACGACCUACGGGUGAAAGCAGGGGAUCUUCGGACCUUGCGCGAUUGAAUGAGCCGAUGUCGGAUUAGCUAGUUGACGGGGUAAAGGCCCACCAAGGCGACGAUCCGUAGCUGGUCUGAGAGGAUGAUCAGCCACACUGGAACUGAGACACGGUCCAGACUCCUACGGGAGGCAGCAGUGGGGAAUAUUGGACAAUGGGCGCAAGCCUGAUCCAGCCAUACUGCGUGGGUGAAGAAGGCCUUCGGGUUGUAAAGCCCUUUUGUUGGGAAAGAAAUCCAGCCGGCUAAUACCUGGUUGGGAUGACGGUACCCAAAGAAUAAGCACCGGCUAACUUCGUG